CAAAAUAACACUGGGACCAGUGUGUGUUGUUAAAAAUUUUCUUACAAGGUUAAUUGGACCAGACUAUUGUGUUGCAAAGCUCUACUACACCACCAGAGAAUUUUAUUCUCUCCUGGUUCUUGUUCACUUUCUUGGAAUAAGGCUGAACAUGCCAUAGAGGAAAUGUGCUAAACCCAGGAAGGAGGAAAAGGUUUUCCUUAUAGGGCUUAAAUCCUCUUCGGGAUGAGGGUUACAUGUUGCGACAGAUGACUGUUAGAAAUGGGAGAGUAAGCACAACACCAUGAUGAGAAUUAUCAGUAUUUCCCCAUGUGCAUCAAGGCAUCAUCUGUCUCAGCAAAUGUCCUUUGACUGUCAGAGGUUUAACUCAAUUAAGGAAAGGUACCAUUCUCCCAAUUUUCUUAAAGAGCUAUGCAUACUGCCUCUUUAGCACCACUAGCACCUGUGAGCAAAGACGACAGAAUUGCACUGCAGUCUUCCACAUGGUAAUGCAGACUGUAAGACCACUGAUACAGCCUAGAAAGAACCAAUUGUCAGGCUAUGAUUCCCACUUACAGAGAAUGUUACUUUCCAAUUAAUAAUGAUCAAUUUCUGGAAGGAGGAAAUAGGAAUUUUUAUAAAUAUUCUAUUAAAUUUCAAAGUUACAGACAAAAUAUGAAGCAAAGAUGACUGACUGAAUCAGUCGUUUUAGGAAGGACGCCUCUUGUCAACUAAUUAUUCUAAAACAAUGUUGUGCCUAUGAUGGAAUUAUUUUAAAAUCUUUUGCAAUAUAUAAGAGCAUAAGAUAA